GACGAACGCUGGCGGCAUGCCUAAUACAUGCAAGUCGAACGCUUUUGUUUCACCGGGUGCUUGCACCCACAGAGACAAAAGAGUGGCGGACGGGUGAGUAACACGUGGGUAACCUGCCCAUAAGAGGGGGAUAACAUCCGGAAACGGAUGCUAAUACCGCAUAUUUCCAAUUGUCUCCUGACAGAUGGAAAAAAGGUGGCUUCGGCUACCGCUUAUGGAUGGACCCGCGGCGGAUUAGCUAGUUGGUGAGGUAAUGGCGCACCAAGGCGAUGAUACGUAGCCGACCUGAGAGGGUGGUCGGCCACACUGGGACUGAGAAACGGCCCAGACUCCUACGGGAGGCAGCAGUAGGGAAUCUUCCGCAAUGGACGAAAGUCUGACGGAGCAAUGCCGCGUGAGUGAAGAAGGUUUUCGGAUCGUAAAACUCUGUUGUUAGAGAAGAACAAGGAUGAGAGUAACUGCUCAUCCCCUGACGGUAUCUAACCAGAAAGCCACGGCUAACUACGUGCCAGCCGCCGCGGUAAUAC
rnacentral:rRNA from 1 species